rnacentral:rRNA from 1 species
UACGUAGGGCGCAAGCGUUUUCCGGAAUUAUUGGGCGUAAAGAGCUCGUAGGCGGUCUGUCGCGUCGGCUGUGAAAGCCCGGGGCUCAACCCCGGGUCUGCAGUCGAUACGGGCAGGCUAUAGUGCGGUAGGGGAGACUGGAAUUCCUGGUGUAGCGGUGAAAUGCGCAGAUAUCAGGAGGAACACCGGUGGCGAAGGCGGGUCUCUGGGCCGUAACUGACGCUGAGGAGCGAAAGCGUGGGGAGCGAACAGG